CGGCUCUCCAGUUUGUAGAGGAUGUAGUGAAGGGCGGGGAGUAAACUCCACAAUUGUAGAUGGAUCCAGCCUAGACAGGCCUCCCCUUCUGAACUCUGAGGCUCUGUGAUGCCCAGCUUGGGUAGGGGCGACUCCAGCUCCUGGUAACUCCUUGCUCUAUGUGUAGUCCCCAGGUGAGAAAUCAUAAGCUGCUUUGGGGUCCCCCAUCUAUAUGGAAUGUCG